UUUCUUUCUAGGUCAUCAGAGGGCGAUUCUAACCAUCCUAUUCAGUAUCAGGCAGGCUAACUAUCCUGUUCAGUGUCAGGCUAAGAGUGACGAGAAAUAGAUAAGCCAUAUGCCACUGCUGUGGACGUCAAUACUGCAGAACUCCCCGCCACCCCAUGCUUGAUCAUUUAAGGUGACAUGAUGAAGCCCUCUGGAUGGCUUAUAUCCAUCGAGGGACAUGUCAUGAUGGGCCCACACCCUUUCUUUUUACACGGAGUAGCUGCAUUCUUCAGCAGCUAUUACGUAAUCAACCUUGAGUAUCCUGCCGCUGGAUCUUCGACGCUGGAGUUCAUUCAAAGGUAUUUUAUAAA